GCGCAAAGCCGCUCCCGGCCGCUCUUCACCCGCCUGCCCGCGGAGAACGUUUUACGUUUUUCAUGUAGAAAUGAAACGAGGUUCUGCGUGUAGAAGCUGUGCUACCAGUUCCUGAACUUGAGAAGACUUUUCCACAAGCAAUGAAGCAAUGACAAGGUCUGUCCUUACUCGUCUGUGGGGUCAAUUAACUACCCCACAGACAGGUACCAUAACCUAAAUGAGAAAAGCAGAAAAAUGCAUGCUGUUUAGUUAUUUUGUAACUAAGUCAGAGGUACAGAAAUACAUUACUUGCUUUUUAAA